rnacentral:rRNA from 1 species
AUGUGGUUCGUUCACAAAGUGAUCCUUACUAAAGACAACCUGGCAAAACGUAAUUGGGCGGGUAGUAAAUGAUAUUGUUCCUGUGAUCAAGAUAAAUCAAUCCAACAUCUGUUUCUAGAUUGUCCUCUUGCCAAGUUCCUUUGGCACACAGCAUGUGGCAUCUAA